rnacentral:rRNA from 1 species
UACGGAGGGAGCUAGCGUUUAUUCGGAAUUACUGGGCGUAAAGCGCACGUAGGCGGCUUUUGUAAGUUAGAGGUGAAAGCCUGGAGCUCAACUCCAGAAUUGCCUUUAAGACUGCAUCGCUUGAAUCCAGGAGAGGUGAGUGGAAUUCCGAGUGUAGAGGUGAAAUUCGUAGAUAUUCGGAAGAACACCAGUGGCGAAGGCGGCUCACUGGACUGGUAUUGACGCUGAGGUGCGAAACGUGGGGGAGCAAACAGGG